UACGAAGGGAGCUAGCGUUGUUCGGAAUCACUGGGCGUAAAGCGCACGUAGGCGGAUUUGUAAGUCAGGGGUGAAAUCCCGGGGCUCAACCUCGGAACUGCCUCUGAUACUGCAGAUCUCGAAUCCGGUAGAGGUGGGUGGAAUUCCUAGUGUAGAGGUGAAAUUCGUAGAUAUUAGGAAGAACACCAGUGGCGAAGGCGGCCCACUGGACCGGUAUUGACGCUGAGGUGCGAAAGCGUGGGGAGCAAACAGG
rnacentral:rRNA from 1 species